ACUUGGAGCUGAAGCACCUCUUCAGCGGGGACCUGCUCGGGACAACAGGCUAUGUGAUACAGAAACCGGUGUGUGUCAGCCAAGGCUUUCACUGACCAAGGCGCGCUCAUCCCAGAUGAUUCAUGACUCAGCAGGCCCUUCAUGAGCUGAAAAAUCUCACACAGUGUAGCUGGAUGUUGGAUGGUUUUCCAAGGACACUUUCACAGGCAGAAGCCUUAGAUAGAGCUUCUCAGAUCGUUACUGUGAUUAACCCACAUGUAUGCUUUGAGGUCCUUAAAUGAGGCCUUACUGCUCGCUGGACGCAUCCCCCAGUGGCCGAGUCUACAACAUUGAAUUCGACCCUCUCAAAACUGUGGGCACGGAUGAUCUGACUGUGGAACCUCUCAUACAGCAUGAGGAUGGUAAGCCAGAGACGGUUAUCAACAGACCAAAGGCUCUGAAGCCGAAACAAAGCCAGUUCUGAAACAUUAUCAGAACAAAAGCGUGUUGGAAACAUUCUCCGGAACAGAAACCAACAAGAUUUGACCCUAUUUACAUGCUUUCCUACAAACUAAAGUUCCACAAACAAGCCAGAAAGCUUCUGUUACUCCAUGAGGAGAAAUGUGUGUAACUAUUAAUAGUUAGAUGGGCAAACCUCCUAGUCCUUGCAUUUAGAAGCUACUUUUCCUAAGACUUCCAGUAUGUAUGAAUUCUUUGAAAAUUGCGUUACUUUUAUUUCUUCUGAUUUUACUCUGGAUAUUAAGGAUGUGCUAAAUGAGUCAGAUACUAAGGUUCAUGCUUUGGAAUCAUCUAGUGUGUUUUAUGCAGUUAUCCUCAAAAACGUCAGCAAUGUCUGAACUUUUAAAACGUCUAUUAGAGCAAAAUUAAAAAAGGAUUUGGUAGUCAUCUUUUUGUUCAGUUAAGUGGUUGAUAAAGGUCCCAUAUUUUUCUGGAAAAGUUUUAAAAAGUUACAUGUCAUUUGGGGAAAAUACGUGAUCAGGAAUUUUUGCAUGGAAUGAUGGCAAAAAAGACAUUUCCAGCAUUGUGGAACAUGGUGAGACACUAUGGAAAAUUCCAGAGAGUAGGCAACUGGAUUUACAGAUUUGUUGUAAGGCAAAAAUUCACGGCUGCCUUUACACUAAGAAAUGUAUAUGCUAGCCAUAUAUGCUGUAUUUAUUUUGUUGUUAAGCUUACUUUCAGUUGACUCGGAAUUUUCAAUUUGCUGUAAAAACAUAUCAGUAUAUAGAAAAAUAUUACUUUAAGAUGACUUGUUUCCUUUGAAAAUAGAUAUGUACUGAGGGUUAUGAUUUAUGUCCGAAAUUGACAUUGUAAGUCCUUGGACAAGCACCAAAGUUGAAUGAAUUUUCAGCAAAGUGUAAUUAAAGUCUAUAUGUUUUUAGAUGUGACUCCGGUUAAGAAAUGUGUUUUAGGAUCUAGUGGCCAGUUUCUCUUUUUGAUCCAAAUGUACGAUCUGCCAUAAGUAACAAGUUACAGUCCCACCCCCUGCAAAAAAAAAAAAAAAAAGGAAACAGAGAAAACCCGUGGCGCUGUGUAAAUAAAGUCAGCAUACUUGUCGGUGGUAAAUAGAUGAGGCAUGCCUGGGAAAUGCUCUCUUGGCAUAAAUAGCAAUCAAUCAUAAUGUGUAAACAGGUGUGCCAAUAAAACGAAUUUACAUGACAGGUUAACAAGGACCAGGAAAGUGAGUGAGUUUCCUGAAGGAGUCCUUUGUUUCUGAUCAAAGAAAUCAAUACCCGUUAGCGUUCACUGCCAGCCACCUUAUUUCAAGGAGAAAGAACCCUAUUGGUGUCACCUGAGCAGCCAUUUAAAAAUUGGAAUCUACGGUGAUUCCUUCGCGGGGCAACAAGGAUGGCUGCUGGUGCGCUGUGGGUCUGGUAGGAGGGCACCCGAGGGGUGGAGGAACACCGUUAUUAUGUCUUCCACGGCGUACGCACUCCGGCUUUACUUGGUGCCAAAUCAAAUGAAACAAGCCCUCGUACAAGCUGUUAUUAAUUGCCUUUAAAAAUCUGUUCCGUUUUUCCCCAGGUACUUAAAAUACAAUUCCAGUAGGCAGUUCUUAUGUAUUUGGGGGGUGGGGGAAUUUUAUUUUCUUUUUCUUCUGAUAUUUUAAAAAUUCAUCGAUAUUUCAAGAUGAACCAAGGUUUUUAAAAAGAAUUACAGUAAACACUUCUUUCUUUAUAAAACUUUCUAUAAUGCCUGGUUUGAAUGCUAAUCUUAUGUGCUUUCUAAAAAUGUUGUGAGCUACCAAGCUUAUGGAUUAUCAUUAGGUUAUCCGGCAUACAUUAAUCUUUAGCAGGAUCGAAUGAAAUUUUGUAACUGUGGCUGUCACUCUGUCCUUGGGCCUUCACAGGGCCUGCUCCAUCCCGGCUCCCUUUCUGCUGCCCAAUGCCUCCAUGGCUUCUGAAAGAUUGUGUUCUAAUAAAUGAUCUUAAAACAG